rnacentral:misc_RNA from 1 species
GAUUUACAGAGUCUGGACUCGGAGAAGAAGAUGAUGAUGAACCACCGGCUUCAGGAGUUGGAAAAAGAGCUUCUUGAGGAUAACGAUGAUGACGAUGGAAGCGACGCUGUUUCUGUGAUUACGAGCUCGAAUACCGCAUGGUGUGAGACGAUUUAUAAUCUGAUCAGUCCGAAUCCGAGUCCGACGGCGCAGAAUCUGAGUCCGACUUCCUCUGCUUCAUCCUCCUGUUCUUCGUCUACGUCCUCCUCUGUGGCGUCUCCGGCUUCCGAUUCUUGGAAACAGUCUGUAAUCGAGGCUGGCGCUGCGAUUUCCGAGGGGAAAUUAGAGGGCGUUGAUGAGAUUCUUGCGCCGGUCGUCAAGAUUUCGAAUGCUAGAGGUAAUUCUGUACAGAGAUUGGCGGAGUAUAUGGUUUUGGCUCUCAAAUCGCGGGUGAAUCCGGCCGAAUUUCCGCCGCCGGUGUUGGAGAUAUACGGCGACGACCACUCAGCAGCGACUCAGUUGCUGUAUGAUGUUUCUCCUUGCUUCAAGCUCGCUUUCAUGGCGGCGAAUCUCGCGAUUCUUGAGGCGAUUGGGGAAGAGGAUCGGAAAUUGCACGUUGUGGAUUUCGAUAUCGGGAAAGGCGGUCAGUACAUGAACCUAAUCCAUCUUCUCUCCGGCCGCCAGAAAGGGAAGGUCGCCGUGAAGCUGACGGCGGUGGUGGUGGAAAGCGGCGGCGACGAGAGAUUGAAACUGGUCGGCGAGUCGCUGAGUCAGCUCGCGAACGAACUCGGCGUUGGGUUCAAUUUCAACAUCGUGAGACACAAACUGGCGGAGUUAACGCGCGAGUCACUCGGCUGCGAGCCAGACGAAUCACUGACAGUGAAUUUCGCAUUCAAGUUGUAUCGGAUGCCAGACGAGAGCGUCUCAACGGAGAAUCCCCGAGACGAGCUCCUCCGCCGAGUCAAGUCAUUGGCGCCCGCAGUCGUGACGGUAAUGGAGCAAGAAUUGAACAUGAACACUGCCCCUUUCGCAGCACGGGUGGCUGAGUCAUGCGUAUACUACAGUUCGCUAUUCGACUCCAUCGACUCAACCGUGCGAAGAGACCACCCGGACCGGGUCAAGGUUGAGGAGGGACUCGGCCGUAAGCUAGCCAAUUCCCUAGCUUGCGAGGGGAGAGACCGAGUCGAAAGAUGCGAAGUUUCGGGCAAGUGGCGCGCUAGGAUGGGAAUGGCUGGGUUCGAGGCAAGACCGAUGAGUCAAACGGUAGCCGAGUCGAUGAAAACUCGGCUGAGUUCAGGGUACCGAGUCAAUCCAGGGUUCACCGUGAAAGAAGAAAACGGAGGAAUUUGCUUCGGUUGGAUGGGACGGACUCUUACCGUCACAACCGCGUGGCGUUAGUUAAUAACCUUACUCAUUGUCA